AGUAACUGCGAGUGAAGCGGGAAGAGCUCAAAUUUUGAAUCUGGCGGUCUUUCGGCCGUCCGAGUUGUAAUCUAGAGAAGCGUUUUCCGCGCUGGACCGUGUAUAAGUCUCCUGGAAGGGAGCGUCGUAGAGGGUGAGAAUCCCGUCUUUGACACGGACUACCAGUGCUAUGUGAUGCGCUCUCGACGAGUCGAGUUGUUUGGGAAUGCAGCUCAAAUUGGGUGGUAAAUUCCAUCUAAAGCUAAAUAUAGGCGAGAGACCGAUAGCGAACAAGUACCGUGAGGGAAAGAUGAAAAGAACUUUGGAAAGAGAGUUAAACCGUACGUGAAAUUGCUGAAAGGGAAACGCUUGAUGUCAGUCGCGUCGGCCGGGGAUCAACCUUGCUUCAUCGCUCGGUGUAUUUCCUGGUCGACGGGUCAGCAUCAGUUUCGAUCGCCGUACAAGGGCGGAGGGAAUGUGGCACUCUUCGGAGUGUGUUAUAGCCUUUCGUCGUAUGCGGUGACUGGGACUGAGGAACUCAGCACGACCCCUCGAGGGUUCGGGGCUUCGGCCUACGUAUCGUGCUUAGGAUGCUGGCAUAAUGGCCUUAAGCGACCCGUCUUGAAACACGGACCAAGGAGUCUAACAUGCCUGCGAGUGUUUGGGUGCAAAACCCGAGCGCGUAAUUAAAGUGAAAGUUGAGACCUCUGUCGUGGAGGGCAUCGACGCCCGGACCUGAGUCUUUGACGACGGAUCUGCGGUAGAGCAUGUAUGUUGGGACCCGAAAGAUGGUGAACUAUGCCUGAAUAGGGUGAAGCCAGAGGAAACUCUGGUGGAGGCUCGUAGCGAUUCUGACGUGCAAAUCGAUCGUCGAAUUUGGGUAUAGGGCGAAAGACUAAUCGAA
rnacentral:rRNA from 1 species